GUUUAAGUGAGCAGAAAAGACUUCACUUGGGAUCUCAGGUGGGAAUCAGGGGCACCUGACCCUUGGCAUGCAGCAGAGACACUUGGGUUGCCCCUCUCCCAACACUGUUUGCUUUGGUUCUUCUCAAGAAUUUCAGCUCUGAGGACAGCCCAUGUGGAAUAACUCCCAUCCUCAGUUGGCCACCCUGCCUGUCCCCGUGAGGAGUAUACCAGUGAACCCCACUGUGAGCCCCCUGAGCUCUGAGCUGGGGGUGGAGAGCCCAUACUGCAGCAGCAUGGUGAUUCAGCUGGGCCCCCCUCUACUCCUCCUCCCCGCAAUGAGUCACAAUUUCCCCUAAGCCUCCAAAUUGCGAAAGGGGAUGAUCCUGCUGUGCUGGCCCGCUCCCCAGCACAGCCUCACUCCGGGAGAUGAAAUGGGGGCUUGUGCCUCACCCUUGCUCUCCAGAGCCAAGGAGAAGAGCGGUGCCCCCACAAAACGCCCUCUUCCUAUGGAACCGUGCUGAAUAACAGAAACUUCUCCUCCUUUUCUCACCUGCCUGCAUCAGUCCUUGCUCUGAUUGACCACUUUUAUGCACCAAUGAGUUUUUUUUCCUUCUUGAAAAGGAAACGGGGUCUGCGUGAGUUAAUUUUGCCAUGAGAACAAUGCAACGGGACGUGAAGGGAGGGGAGAGGAAGAGGAGAGGAAAAAGGCCUAAGAAGGAGAAGAAAGAAAAAACAGGUCCAAAACCCGCGGAACGGUGUAAUUUAUAAAGGUCUGGAACCAGCCAAUGAAUGUGACCUCACUCCCAUGCCCAGUGAGAGCUGGUUUUCCACUGGGUUUGCCUUUGGAAGAGCAUCUUCUCCUGGUGAUGGGGCUGCUGGAGCCCUGCAUGGACGCUGCUGCUGGACGGCAUGUUGCCAUUGCUGCAUGGGACAUGGAGGAAGGAAGAAAGCAUAUGGUUCCCAUUGGUUUGCAAAAGUGAAAACACGUGCUGGAAUCCCAGCCAGAUGUGCUUCUUGUUAUUUUAAUGAGAAAUUCCAUAAUUAGUGGCAAAAAAUAAAAAGAAGCUACACUGCAAGUGAAAGAAAACCCCCGUCUCUCCACUCCAGCGCAUGAUAGACGCAUCAAAGAGAUGUGGUGUUUUUACAAACAUACAUUACUUGACAAGCUAUGAUGUUCCUUAAUCUGUUUGCUUGAGGGAAUUAAAAAG
ensembl:lncRNA